rnacentral:rRNA from 1 species
CACUAUGCUCAGCCCUAAAAUUUGAUAGGCCCCUACGCCCCCUAUCCGCCCGGGUACUACGAGCGUUAGCUUAAAACCCAAAGGACUUGGCGGUGCUUCACAUCCGUCUAGAGGAGCCUGUUCUAGAACCGAUAACCCCCGUUAAACCUCACCCUCCCUUGUUAAUACCGCCUAUAUACCGCCGUCGUCAGCCUACCCUGUGAGGGACUAGAAGUAAGCAAGAUUGGUAAGACCCAAAACGUCAGGUCGAGGUGUAGUGUAUGAGAGGGGAAGAAAUGGGCUACAUUUCCUAAAUCAGGAAAUACGAACAAUGGACUGAAAUAAACAUUAGAAGGUGGAUUUAGCAGUAAGCAGAGAAAUAGAGUGUUCUGCUGAAGUAUGGCAAUAAAGCACGCACAUAUCGCCCGUCACUCUCCCCGAGCUUUACACAAAAACAUACCUAAAAAAUCACAUCUGCAAAGGGGAGGCAAGUCGUAA